rnacentral:tRNA from 1 species
CGCGGGGUGGAGCAGCGGUUAGCUCGAGAGGCUCAUAACCUCUAAACGUCGGUUCGAAUCCGACCUCCGCAAC